rnacentral:lncRNA from 1 species
CCUUUUCUAGGGCCACUCCCGCGGCAUAUGGAGUUCCCAGGCUAGGGGUCGAAUCGGAGCUGUAGCUGCUGGCCUUCGCCAGAGCCACAGCAAUGCAAGAUCCAAGCCGAGUCUGCAAGCUAUACCACAACUCACGGCAACACUGGAUUGUUAAUCCGGUGAGCAAGGCCAGGGACCGAACCUGCAACCUCAUGGUUCCUAGUUGGAUUCUUUAACCACUGUGCCAUGACGGGAACUCCUCUCAUUCCUUUUUCAGUUGUGACUUGUCUUCAGAUAGUGACUCCCUGGAGGCCUGAGACCUUGAUUUAUUUAAUACAAGGAAUUGGCAAAAGGGUGUGAUGCUAGCCUGCAGGAACUCUGGGUUGUGUUGGUUUGGGCAUUUGCCUAAUGGCCAGAUUUCCUGCUGGACUGUGUCCCUGCUACUGGCAGUUCCUGGGGCAUCAGGGGCUUAGCAAGGGGCAAGUAGAGCUGGUUGACAGAUUAUUGCCUUGCCCUCCUCCUUCCCCAGCCUUGAACAAUGCCUGAGCCUGGGGCUUCAGCGCCUUGAGCACCAGUUAGAGUCAAAGAGAUCAGUUCUAAAGAAAGUAGGAUGAGGUCAGAGAGAGGCUGCUAAGAACAGUCAAAAAUUGAGUUUAUUCCUUGAAGUGGAUCUUAAUUUUUUUUUCUCUCCCAGUUCUCCAAGCUAUUUCAAAAAUAAACUCUAUAGAAGAUAGAAAAUAACCUAAAUAUCCAUUAAUAGGGGACAGAUUAAGUAUAUUCUCUCUUAAGAAGGUAAAUGAUAGAUAAGUGAAGAAUCACCUUUCCUUUUCACUAUUGUAUCAUGACCAUAUAAUUCUCAUUAGAAAUGUAACCUUUGGGGGAGAAAACUAUAAAUGACUAUGUUGCAGAGAUCCCAUGGCAAAUGAAAAAUACACCUUUUAAUAUUUAACAUUGUAUUUAAAAAGAAAAACCAAACUGUUUUAGAUAGAACUAACUGUUCCACUUGUGGUUUAGGAUAAAAUUUCAGCGACAGCAGGUAGAUUCAAAAAGUGCUGUAACUCAAACACUUUAGACAGAAGAGAAGGUAAUGUACUCUAGAAAACCGUGAGAUGACUCAAAAAGUGGCUCUGGGGAAGACAGUGACACUAAUGCAAUAGAGACAUGGGAAAAGUUUGCAUUAAGUCAUGAUGUGAGGUUGGAAAAAAGCCGUAUUUCUACCUUAGUGUGUUAUUUUAUACAGUACGUGAUUUUAAAGAUGUGUGUGCAACUAAACCAAUAUAUAGUUGAAGUUAAAACUCUUGUUUUAGAAGACCAAUGACAUGGCAAAAAGGUCAUGGCAGUGAUAAAUCACUCUAAAAAUUCUUGGUCUAUAAAAACUAUCCAACCGUAUUUGUACUAUCCAUACAGAUACACAUGAAAGAAAAUAAAUGUAUAUUGAUCCAGAAGGAGAGUCACUGAAAAUCAGUGGUUGUAUUUGUAUGUAAUAUUACAGGUGACUUUUUUUUUCUUUAUAUGUUUUCACAGUCUCCAAACUUUACACAAUGGAUAUUCAUUACUUUUACAACAGAAGAGAAUCUUGUUUUAAAAACAGUAGAGAAAACAUUUGCCCAUAGCACCUGCCUCAACUGUGUCCUGUGUUUCCUCCUAAGUAUACUGGUGUGGAGUAGAAAUGAAAUAAUAGCUAAAUUUAUUGAAUGUGAAUCAUGUACCUGGAACUGUACUAAGCAUUUUGUUAAUACAGUGGAUUAUUUUGUGUAAUCACCACCCUAGUCUUCUGAAGUGGGCAUGAAUACCCUGAUCUCAUAGAUGAGGAAAUUAAGGAUCAGAGAGGUUUGGUUCUUUGCCUAAGUCACAUAGCUAGUGAGUGGGAGUGCUGGCAUUUAAACCCAUCAGAUCAACUCUUGUGGCAGAGGCCACGUUCUCAGUCCUAGCUCUUUGCUGUGCUGCCUCCCACCACUCCAGUACACAUCUGGCAGGAUCUCAGAAGUUGUAAUGUGCCAGACCAUGGGAGAAUUUCUAGCCAAGUGUCCUGAGCAUUUCUUCUUAGCUUUACAUUUCAAGGAGCUGGAAAUUUUAAUUGGUUAAGCAGAUUUCUUACCGGUGACUGUCACAUUUGCAUGAGUAAAGGGAUGGGAUGAGCUUGUUGGGAAAAACAUGUUUUUACCCACUUCUUUUUUUUUUUUUUUUUUUUUUUUUGGUCUUUUUAGGGCCGCGCUGGUGGCAUAUGGAAGUUCCCAGGCUAGGUGUCAAAUCAAAACUGCAGCUGCCGGCCUGUACCACAAGCACAGCAACGCCAGAUCCGAGCUGCGUCUGUGACCUACACCACAGCUAAUCCACGUAGCGAGGCCAGGGAUCAAACCUGUGUUCUCAUGGAUACUAGUCAGAUUCAUUUCUGCUGAGCCAUGACGGGAACUCUCCCCACUUCUUUAGGCAGGAAGACUUCUAAAGGAAUGGGGCAGUUGAGGGGUCUGUGAAGUUGUUUAUGGGGCUAUAUACAGGUGGCAAGGAAGAGAUCUAGAUUAUGAGGACUGACUGGACCAGCAGUGAAGCACCAAGAUAGGGAGCUCUAAGGAAUAGGGGCUGCAGAACAGGGAAGCAAAAGGAGGCUGGAAGAGGGGAUAAAGACCAUCUCUGUCCAGUAAAGGAAAGGGAAUUAGCACUUGUUGGCCAUAUACAGUAUGCUGGUGAUUUAUGUUUGCUGUUUCAUUCCAUCCUUCCAACAACCCUAUUUUGUAGGAGUCAGUCUCUCCAUGUGCCAGUUGGAGAAGGAGAGGCUCAGAGAGAUGAACCUGUCCAGGAUUGAAUAGUUAAAUUGUUGAAUAGUUAUUGAGAGGUAAAGCCAAGAGGAGCUCUUGUCUUCCUGCCUCUGAAAUGUCUCCCUUUGUAUCAGUAUUCCAGCAAGAAAUCCUCCCAUGGAGUAAUUGAGAGUUUAACAAAACGGGGCUGCCUACAAAGUUGUGGGCAGGUGAUGGGGUUCAGGACAAGCUACUCUAAAACAUGGUACCUUGGCAUUUUGAUCUCCCAGGUGAAAGGUACCAGGAGGAACAUCUUAUCUAGAGU